rnacentral:lncRNA from 1 species
GCAAUGGACAGAACAAAAACAGAAUUUUUUGUACCUCACUAAACCACAGCACAACUUUUUGUCCGCAGUACAAGUUGUCUAAAAUGCCAAAAUACCAUUUUAUUAACAAAAUAUCGUAUAAGACAAAAAAAUGUUCAAUAUCCCAAAAGUUUGUUCUGUGCUGUUCUGUCAUGUGUUGUGCUGUUCUGUCUUGUAGUGUUCUGU